CCGGCGAUUUCCGAAUGGGGAAACCCAGUGUGUUUCGACACACUAUCAUUAACUGAAUCCAUAGGUUAAUGAGGCGAACCGGGGGAACUGAAACAUCUAAGUACCCCGAGGAAAAGAAAUCAACCGAGAUUCCCCCAGUAGCGGCGAGCGAACGGGGAGGAGCCCAGAGCCUGAAUCAGUGUGUGUGUUAGUGGAAGCGUCUGGAAAGGCGCGCGAUACAGGGUGACAGCCCCGUACACAAAAAUGCACAUAUUGUGAGCUCGAUGAGUAGGGCGGGACACGUGGUAUCCUGUCUGAAUAUGGGGGGACCAUCCUCCAAGGCUAAAUACUCCUGACUGACCGAUAGUGAACCAGUACCGUGAGGGAAAGGCGAAAAGAACCCCGGCGAGGGGAGUGAAAAAGAACCUGAAACCGUGUACGUACAAGCAGUGGGAGCCUCUUUAUGGGGUGACUGCGUACCUUUUGUAUAAUGGGUCAGCGACUUAUAUUCUGUAGCAAGGUUAACCGAAUAGGGGAGCCGAAGGGAAACCGAGUCUUAACUGGGCGUUAAGUUGCAGGGUAUAGACCCGAAACCCGGUGAUCUAGCCAUGGGCAGGUUGAAGGUUGGGUAACACUAACUGGAGGACCGAACCGACUAAUGUUGAAAAAUUAGCGGAUGACUUGUGGCUGGGGGUGAAAGGCCAAUCAAACCGGGAGAUAGCUGGUUCUCCCCGAAAGCUAUUUAGGUAGCGCCUCGUGAAUUCAUCUCCGGGGGUAGAGCACUGUUUCGGCAAGGGGGUCAUCCCGACUUACCAACCCGAUGCAAACUGCGAAUACCGGAGAAUGUUAUCACGGGAGACACACGGCGGGUGCUAACGUCCGUCGUGAAGAGGGAAACAACCCAGACCGCCAGCUAAGGUCCCAAAGUCAUGGUUAAGUGGGAAACGAUGUGGGAAGGCCCAGACAGCCAGGAUGUUGGCUUAGAAGCAGCCAUCAUUUAAAGAAAGCGUAAUAGCUCACUGGUCGAGUCGGCCUGCGCGGAAGAUGUAACGGGGCUAAACCAUGCACCGAAGCUGCGGCAGCGACACUAUGUGUUGUUGGGUAGGGGAGCGUUCUGUAAGCCUGUGAAGGUGGCCUGUGAGGGUUGCUGGAGGUAUCAGAAGUGCGAAUGCUGACAUAAGUAACGAUAAAGCGGGUGAAAAGCCCGCUCGCCGGAAGACCAAGGGUUCCUGUCCAACGUUAAUCGGGGCAGGGUGAGUCGACCCCUAAGGCGAGGCCGAAAGGCGUAGUCGAUGGGAAACAGGUUAAUAUUCCUGUACUUGGUGUUACUGCGAAGGGGGGACGGAGAAGGCUAUGUUGGCCGGGCGACGGUUGUCCCGGUUUAAGCGUGUAGGCUGGUUUUCCAGGCAAAUCCGGAAAACCAAGGCUGAGGCGUGAUGACGAGGCACUACGGUGCUGAAGCGACAAAUGCCCUGCUUCCAGGAAAAGCCUCUAAGCAUCAGGUAACAUCAAAUCGUACCCCAAACCGACACAGGUGGUCAGGUAGAGAAUACCAAGGCGCUUGAGAGAACUCGGGUGAAGGAACUAGGCAAAAUGGUGCCGUAACUUCGGGAGAAGGCACGCUGAUAUGUAGGUGAAGCGACUUGCUCGUGGAGCUGAAAUCAGUCGAAGAUACCAGCUGGCUGCAACUGUUUAUUAAAAACACAGCACUGUGCAAACACGAAAGUGGACGUAUACGGUGUGACGCCUGCCCGGUGCCGGAAGGUUAAUUGAUGGGGUUAGCGGUAACGCGAAGCUCUUGAUCGAAGCCCCGGUAAACGGCGGCCGUAACUAUAACGGUCCUAAGGUAGCGAAAUUCCUUGUCGGGUAAGUUCCGACCUGCACGAAUGGCGUAAUGAUGGCCAGGCUGUCUCCACCCGAGACUCAGUGAAAUUGAACUCGCUGUGAAGAUGCAGUGUACCCGCGGCAAGACGGAAAGACCCCGUGAACCUUUACUAUAGCUUGACACUGAACAUUGAGCCUUGAUGUGUAGGAUAGGUGGGAGGCUUUGAAGUGUGGACGCCAGUCUGCAUGGAGCCGACCUUGAAAUACCACCCUUUAAUGUUUGAUGUUCUAACGUUGGCCCGUAAUCCGGGUUGCGGACAGUGUCUGGUGGGUAGUUUGACUGGGGCGGUCUCCUCCUAAAGAGUAACGGAGGAGCACGAAGGUUGGCUAAUCCUGGUCGGACAUCAGGAGGUUAGUGCAAUGGCAUAAGCCAGCUUGACUGCGAGCGUGACGGCGCGAGCAGGUGCGAAAGCAGGUCAUAGUGAUCCGGUGGUUCUGAAUGGAAGGGCCAUCGCUCAACGGAUAAAAGGUACUCCGGGGAUAACAGGCUGAUACCGCCCAAGAGUUCAUAUCGACGGCGGUGUUUGGCACCUCGAUGUCGGCUCAUCACAUCCUGGGGCUGAAGUAGGUCCCAAGGGUAUGGCUGUUCGCCAUUUAAAGUGGUACGCGAGCUGGGUUUAGAACGUCGUGAGACAGUUCGGUCCCUAUCUGCCGUGGGCGCUGGAGAACUGAGGGGGGCUGCUCCUAGUACGAGAGGACCGGAGUGGACGCAUCACUGGUGUUCGGGUUGUCAUGCCAAUGGCACUGCCCGGUAGCUAAAUGCGGAAGAGAUAAGUGCUGAAAGCAUCUAAGCACGAAACUUGCCCCGAGAUGAGUUCUCCCUGAGACUUAGAGUCUCCUGAAGGAACGUUGAAGACGACGACGUUGAUAGGCCGGGUGUGUAAGCGCAGCGAUGCGUUGAGCUAACCGGUACUAAUGAACCGUGAGGCUUAACCUUACAACGCCGAAG
rnacentral:rRNA from 1 species